AGUGGGGAAUAUUGUGGCAAUGGAGGAAACUCUGACCCAGCGACGCCGCGUGCGGGAUGAAGGCCUUCGGGUUGUAAACCGCUUUCAGCAGGGAAGAAGCGAAAGUGACGGUACCUGCAGAAGAAGCACCGGCUAACUAUGUGCCAGCAGCCGCGGUAAUACAUAGGGUGCAAGCGUUGUCCGGAAUUAUUGGGCGUAAAGAGCUCGUAGGUGGUUCGUCACGUCGGAUGUGAAACUCUGGGGCUUAACCCCAGACCUGCAUUCGAUACGGGCGAGCUUGAGUAUGGUAGGGGAGUCUGGAAUUCCUGGUGUAGCGGUGGAAUGCGCAGAUAUCAGGAGGAACACCAAUGGCGAAGGCAGGACUCUGGGCCAUUACUGACACUGAGGAGCGAAAGCGUGGGGAGCGAACAGGAU
rnacentral:rRNA from 1 species